rnacentral:rRNA from 1 species
UGCGUAGGCGGCGUUAUAAGUCAGAGGUGAAAGCCUACAGCUUAACUGUAGAAUUGCCUUUGAUACUGUAAUGCUUGAAUUAGGUUGAGGUUAGCGGAAUGUGACAUGUAGCGGUGAAAUGCAUAGAUAUGUCAUAGAACACCAAUUGCGAAGGCAGCUAGCUAGGCUUCAAUUGACGCUGAGGCACGAAAGCGUGGGGAGCGAACAGGAUUAGAUACCCUGGUAGUCC